rnacentral:rRNA from 1 species
GGCGAGGGGAGUGAAAAAGAACCUGAAACCGUGUACGUACAAGCAGUGGGAGCACGUUUACCUGUGUGACUGCGUACCUUUUGUAUAAUGGGUCAGCGACUUAUAUUCUGUAGCAAGGUUAACCGAAUAGGGGAGCCGGAGGGAAACCGAGUCUUAACUGGGCGUUAAGUUGCAGGGUAUAGACCCGAAACCCGGUGAUCUAGCCAUGGGCAGGUUGAAGGUUGGGUAACACUAACUGGAGGACCGAACCGACUAAUGUUGAAAAAUUAGCGGAUGACCUGUGGC